UCUCUGCUUGCGCAGGCAGUCUCCCUAGAGUGCCCAACUUAAUGGUGGCAACUAAGGACGAGGGUUGCGCUCGUUGCGGGACUUAACCCAACACCUCACGGCACGAGCUGACGACAGCCAUGCAGUACCUGAACCGGCGAUCCCCGAAGGGAAAAUCCUAUUUCUAGGACUGUCCGCCGUUGUCUAGCCCAGGUAAGGUUCUUCGCGUUGCGUCGAAUUAAACCACAUGCUCCACCGCUUGUGCGGGCCCCCGUCAAUUCCUUUGAGUUUCAACCUUGCGGUCGUACUCCCCAGGCGGGGUACUUCCUGCGUUAGCGCCGGCACCCAGAGGGUCGCUCCCCCAGGCACCUAGUACCCAUCGUUUACGGCGUGGACUAC
rnacentral:misc_RNA from 1 species